rnacentral:rRNA from 1 species
UACAUGGGGUGCAAACGUUGUCCGGAAUUAUUGGGCGUAAAGAGCUCGUAGGCGGUUUGUCGCGUCGACUGUGAAAACCUGGGGCUUAACUCUGGGCCUGCAGUCGAUACGGGCAGACUUGAGUUCGGUAGGGGAGACUGGAAUUCCUGGUGUAGCGGUGAAAUGCGCAGAUAUCAGGAGGAACACCGGUGGCGAAGGCGGGUCUCUGGGCCGAUACUGACGCUGAGGAGCGAAAGCGUGGGGAGCGAACAGG